rnacentral:rRNA from 1 species
AUUGAACGCUGGCGGCAGGCUUAACACAUGCAAGUCGAGCGGGGGAAGGUAGCUUGCUACCGGACCUAGCGGCGGACGGGUGAGUAAUGCUUAGGAAUCUGCCUAUUAGUGGGGGACAACAUCUCGAAAGGGAUGCUAAUACCGCAUACGUCCUACGGGAGAAAGCAGGGGAUCUUCGGACCUUGCGCUAAUAGAUGAGCCUAAGUCGGAUUAGCUAGUUGGUGGGGUAAAGGCCUACCAAGGCGACGAUCUGUAGCGGGUCUGAGAGGAUGUUCGGCAACACUGGGACUGAGACACGGCCCAGACUCCUACGGGAGGCAGCAGUGGGGAAUAUUGGACAAUGGGGGGAACCCUGAUCCAGCCAUGCCGCGUGUGUGAAGAAGGCCUUAUGGUUGUAAAGCACUUUAAGCGAGGAGGAGGCUACUGAGACUAAUACUCUCGGAUAGUGGACGUUACUCGCAGAAUAAGCACCGGCUAACUCUGUGCCAGCCGCCGCCGUAA